GAGAUCUUUUUAUUUUCAGUGAUUGCUGGUGCUGUGUUGCAGCAGACGUUCUUCUGUGUUGGGACAUGGCAUGGAGGAGUGGAUGAGAUCAGAGGACAUUGUUUCUGCUGUGUACAUACACAAGAUUCAUCAUCUCAAUCCAGUCCAAGAACAACCCGUCAUUUUUUCCCUGACCUCAAAAUGAAGACAGAACUAGGCCUUCUGAGGCCACACGGAAAGUAAGAAGUCUUUCUGAAGAUAGAGAAGAUUAUCUAUGAAGAUACUGUAUCCAUGAGAAGAAGGGGCCAAGGCAAAUUAAUUUCUCACGAUACAGAAGAAAAAAACAGGUCUAUUUAGAGACAAAAAUAUCACUAUUUAUCUUAA